CCGCGUGUGUGAAGAAGGCCUUUUGGUUGUAAAGCACUUUAAGCAGUGAAGAAGACCUAACGGUUAAUACCCGUUAGCGAUGACAUUAGCUGCAGAAUAAGCACCGGCUAACUCUGUGCCAGCAGCCGCGGUAAUACAGAGGGUGCAAGCGUUAAUCGGAAUUACUGGGCGUAAAGCGAGCGUAGGUGGCUUGAUAAGUCAGAUGUGAAAUCCCCGGGCUUAACCUGGGAACUGCAUCUGAUACUGUCAGGCUAGAAUAGGUGAGAGGAAGGUAGAAUUCCAGGUGUAGCGGUGAAAUGCGUAGAGAUCUGGAGGAAUACCGAUGGCGAAGGCAGCCUUCUGGCAUCAUAUUGACACUGAGGUUCGAAAGCGUGGGUAGCAAACAGGAUUAGAUACCCUGGUAGUCCACGCCGUAAACGAUGUCUACUAGUCGUUGGGUCCCUUGAGGACUUAGUGACGCAGCUAACGCAAUAAGUAGACCGCCUGGGGAGUACGGCCGCAAGGUUAAAACUCA
rnacentral:rRNA from 1 species